rnacentral:rRNA from 2 species
UAUAGUACCGAAGUUCCUGAUUCCACACUGCCAAGAAAAGCCUCUAGCGAGGCGGGAGGUGCCCGUACCGCAAACCGACACAGGUAGGCGAGGAGAGAAUCCUAAGGGGAUCGAGAGAACUCUCGUUAAGGAACUCGGCAAAAUGACCCCGUAACUUCGGGAGAAGGGGUGCUCUGGUAGGGUGUAUAGCCCGAGAGAGCCGCAGUGAAUAGGCCCAGGCGACUGUUUAGCAAAAACACAGGUCUCUGCGAAGCCGCAAGGCGAAGUAUAGGGGCUGACGCCUGCCCGGUGCUGGAAGGUUAAGAGGAGGGGUUAUCCUUUGGGAGAAGCUCUGAAUCGAAGCCCCAGUAAACGGCGGCCGUAACUAUAACGGUCCUAAGGUAGCGAAAUUCCUUGUCGGGUAAGUUCCGACCCGCACGAAAGGCGUAACGAUCUGGGCACUGUCUCAACGAGAGACUCGGUGAAAUUAUAGUACCUGUGAAGAUGCAGGUUACCCGCGACAGGACGGAAAGACCCCGUGGAGCUUUACUGUAGCCUGAUAUUGAAUUUUGGUACAGCUUGUACAGGAUAGGUAGGAGCCUGAGAAGCCGGAGCGCUAGCUUCGGUGGAGGCGUCGGUGGGAUACUACCCUGGCUGUAUUGAAAUUCUAACCCGCGGCCCUGAUCGGGCCGGGAGACAGUGUCAGGUGGGCAGUUUGACUGGGGCGGUCGCCUCCUAAAAUGUAACGGAGGCGCCCAAAGGGUCCCUCAGAAUGGGUGGAAAUCAUUCGUAGAGGGUAAAGGCACAAGGGAGCUUGACUGCGAGACCUACAAGUCGAGCAGGGACGAAAGUCGGGCUUAGUGAUCCGGUGGUUCCGCAUGGAAGGGCCAUCGCUCAACGGAUAAAAGCUACCCCGGGGAUAACAGGCUUAUCUCCCCCAAGAGUCCACAUCGACGGGGAGGUUUGGCACCUCGAUGUCGGCUCAUCGCAUCCUGGGGCUGUAGUCGGUCCCAAGGGUUGGGCUGUUCGCCCAUUAAAGCGGUACGCGAGCUGGGUUCAGAACGUCGUGAGACAGUUCGGUCCCUAUCCGUCGUGGGCGUAGGAAAUUUGAGAGGAGCUGUCCUUAGUACGAGAGGACCGGGAUGGACACACCGCUGGUGUACCAGUUGUCUUGCCAAAGGCAUCGCUGGGUAGCUAUGUGUGGACGGGAUAAGUGCUGAAAGCAUCUAAGCAUGAAGCCCCCCUCAAGAUGAGAUUUCCCAUAGCGCAAGCUAGUAAGAUCUCUGAAAGAUGAUCAGGUUGAUAGGUCAGAGGUGGAAGCGUGGCGACAUGUGUAGCUGACUGAUACUAAUCGAUCGAGGACUUAACCAAG